UCUUAAACCUUGGGUAGAGUGCCACAGCUAUUUUUAAAAAUCACACAUUGGUACCUUCUUUGCGUUUUGUCAAAUCUGCUGUGAAAGUGUUCUUAAAACGAAGAUGUGCUGAGUCAUCAUCCGAGACUGCAAGAACAUGAAAUCUAUGGCAGCAUGCAGGUAAAACAGAACAGGAGACAUACAAUUCUCCCCAAAGGAGUUCAGUCACAAAUUUAAUUAACACUUUU